AGCCUUCUGUAUCCGUGCUGAGGUUUUGUUACACACCGGAUCACACGAGACCACAUGAGACUCCCAGGAUAAGUGAAGCG
rnacentral:pre_miRNA from 1 species